AAAAGACUUAGUCCUAACCUUACUAUUAGUUCUUGCUAGACAUAUACAUGCAAGUAUCCGCACCCCAGUGAAAAUGCCCCUAAACCCUCCACAGGCAAAAGGAGCAGGUAUCAGGCACACCCAAUGUUUAGCCCAAGACGCCUUGCUAAGCCACACCCCCACGGGUAUUCAGCAGUAAUUAACCUUAAGCAAUAAGUGCAAACUUGACUUAGCCAUAGCAAUACUAGGGUUGGUAAAUCUUGUGCCAGCCACCGCGGUCAUACAAGAAACCCAAAUUAAUAGCCAUCCGGCGUAAAGAGUGGCCACAUGUUAUCCGCAUUAACUAAGAUCAAAACGAAACUGAGCUGUCAUAAGCCCAAGACUCACCUAAGCCCGACCUAAAAACCAUCUUAGUUCCCACGACCAAUUUAAACCCACGAAAGCCAGGGCACAAACUGGGAUUAGAUACCCCACUAUGCCUGGCCUUAAAUCUUGAUAUCCCAUUACCAAUAUAUCCGCCCGAGAACUACGAGCACAAACGCUUAAAACUCUAAGGACUUGGCGGUGCCCCAAACCCACCUAGAGGAGCCUGUUCUAUAAUCGAUAAUCCACGAUUCACCCAACCAUCCUUUGCCAACACAGCCUACAUACCGCCGUCGCCAGCUCACCUCCAAUGAAAGAGCAACAGUGAGCCCAACAGUCUCCACUAAUAAGACAGGUCAAGGUAUAGCCCAUGGGAUGGAAGAAAUGGGCUACAUUUUCUAACAUAGAACAAACGGAAAAGGACAUGAAAACCGGUCCUAAGAAGGAGGAUUUAGCAGUAAGAUGAGAUCAUCCCCAGCUCACCUUAAGACGGCCCUGGGGCACGUACAUACCGCCCGUCACCCUCUUCAAUAAGCCACUAACACCAAUAAAUAAUACCCGCCCCGGCUAAAGACGAGGUAAGUCGUAACAAGGUAAGUGUACCGGAAGGUGCACUUAGACCAC
rnacentral:ncRNA from 1 species